rnacentral:rRNA from 1 species
UACGGGGGGAGCAAGCGUUGUUCGGAUUUACUGGGCGUAAAGGGCGCGUAGGCGGCCACCGCAAGUCGACUGUGAAAUCUCCGGGCUUAACCCGGAAAGGUCAGCCGAUACUGCGGGGCUAGAGUGCAGAAGGGGCAACUGGAAUUCUCGGUGUAGCGGUGAAAUGCGUAGAUAUCGAGAGGAGCACCUGCGGCGAAGGCGGGUUGCUGGGCUGACACUGACGCUGAUGCGCGAAAGCUAGGGGAGCGAACGGG